CGAACGGACGAGAAGCUUGCUUCUCUGAUGUUAGCGGCGGACGGGUGAGUAACACGUGGAUAACCUACCUAUAAGACUGGGAUAACUUCGGGAAACCGGAGCUAAUACCGGAUAAUAUUUUGAACCGCAUGGUUCAAAAGUGAAAGACGGUCUUGCUGUCACUUAUAGAUGGAUCCGCGCUGCAUUAGCUAGUUGGUAAGGUAACGGCUUACCAAGGCAACGAUGCAUAGCCGACCUGAGAGGGUGAUCGGCCACACUGGAACUGAGACACGGUCCAGACUCCUACGGGAGGCAGCAGUAGGGAAUCUUCCGCAAUGGGCGAAAGCCUGACGGAGCAACGCCGCGUGAGUGAUGAAGGUCUUCGGAUCGUAAAACUCUGUUAUUAGGGAAGAACAUAUGUGUAAGUAACUGUGCACAUCUUGACGGUACCUAAUCAGAAAGCCACGGCUAACUACGUGCCAGCAGCCGCGGUAAUACGUAGGUGGCAAGCGUUAUCCGGAAUUAUUGGGCGUAAAGCGCGCGUAGGCGGUUUUUUAAGUCUGAUGUGAAAGCCCACGGCUCAACCGUGGAGGGUCAUUGGAAACUGGAAAACUUGAGUGCAGAAGAGGAAAGUGGAAUUCCAUGUGUAGCGGUGAAAUGCGCAGAGAUAUGGAGGAACACCAGUGGCGAA
rnacentral:rRNA from 1 species